rnacentral:rRNA from 1 species
UUAGAGUUUGAUCCUGGCUCAGGAUGAACGCUAGCGGCAGGCUUAACACAUGCAAGUCGAGGGGCAGCAUGUCCAGCAAUGGAUGAUGGCGACCGGCGGAAGGGUGCGUAACGCGUGAGCAACAUGCCCUAUACAGGGAGAUACACCAGGGAAACUUGGUCUAAUAUCCCAUAGCGUUCAUUGAAGGCAUCUUUAAUGAAUUAAAGCUUCGGUGGUAUAGGAUUGGCUCGCGUGACAUUAGCCAGAUGGUGAGGUAACGGCUCACCAUAGCAAUGAUGUCUAGGGGUUUUGAGAGGAAGGCCCCCCACACUGGGACUGAGACACGGCCCAGACUCCUACGGGAGGCAGCAGUGAGGAAUAUUGGACAAUGGAUGGAAAUCUGAUCCAGCCAUGCCGCGUGCAGGAAGACGGCCUUAUGGGUUGUAAACUGCUUUUAUACGGGAGCAAUAAGGGUUACGAGUAAUCCGAUGAGAGUACUGUAUGAAUAAGGAUCGGCUAACUCCGUACCAGCAGCCGCGGUAAUACGGAGGAUCCGAGCGUUAUCCGGAAUUAUUGGGUUUAAAGGGUGCGUAGGCGGCCAUUUAAGUCAGCGGUGAAAUUUUGCAGCUUAACUGUAACAGUGCCGUUGAUACUGUUUGGCUAGGAUUUGGUUGUAGUGUGCGGAAUGUGUGGUGUAGCGGUGAAAUGCUUAGAUAUCACACAGAACACCGAUUGCGAAGGCAGCACACUAAGUCAUUAUUGACGCUGAGGCACGAAAGUGUGGGGAUCAAACAGGAUUAGAUACCCUGGUAGUCCACACUGUAAAC